rnacentral:ribozyme from 1 species
GAGAGAAAGAGAGAAAGAGAAAAAGGGAGAGAAAGAGAGAGAAUUCUUUUAGGUAGUAGUAAUUUGUUGUAUUGUUAGAAUUUUUAUAGUUAUAUUGGUGUUUGCAUUCUGCGAUUUUUAUA